UACGGGGGGGGCAAGCGUUGUUCGGAAUUACUGGGCGUAAAGGGCUCGUAGGCGGCCAACUAAGUCAUACGUGAAAUCCCCCGGCUUAACCGGGGAACUGCGUCUGAUACUGGAUGGCUUGAGUUCGGGAGAGGGAUGCGGAAUUCCAGGUGUAGCGGUGAAAUGCGUAGAUAUCGGAAGGAACACCAGUGGCGAAAGCGGCGAUCUGGGAAGAUACUGACGCUGAGGUGCGAAAGCGUGGGGAGCAAACAGG
rnacentral:rRNA from 1 species